rnacentral:rRNA from 1 species
AAUUUUGGACAAUGGGGGAAACCCUGAUCCAGCCAUCCCGCGUGUAUGAUGAAGGCCUUCGGGUUGUAAAGUACUUUUGGCAGAGAAGAAAAGGCAUCUCCUAAUACGGUAUCCUGCUGAUGGUAUCUGCAGAACAAGCACCGGCUCACUACGUGCCAGCAGCCGCGGGAAUACGUAGGGUGCAAGCGUUAAUCGGAAUGACUGGGCGUGAAGCGUGUGUAAGGGAGUCGGAAAGAAAGAUGUGAAAUCCCAGGGCUCAACCUUGGAACUGCAUUUUUAACUGCCGAGCUAGAGUAUGUCAGAGGGGGGUAGAAUUCCACGUGUAGCAGUGAAUGCGUAGAUAUGUGGAGGAAUACCGAUGGCGAAGGCAGCCCCCUGGGAUAAUACUGACGCUCAGACACGAAAGCGUGGGGAGCAAACAGG